AUGGAGGAGCUGGAGGCCAGUGGCAGCCGCAGGCCCAUCUACCCUACCAGCCUCCAAGUCCACCAUGCGGACUCCCAGCAGAAGAAAACGCAGACAGAUGACCCAAAGUCAAGUCGAAAAGCAAGAGUGGCACCAAUCCUGUCCACAGACGGCGAUUUCUCAGAUUUGCGGGAGAUCAAAAAGCAGCUACUGCUUAUUGCAGGCCUUAGCCGGGAGCGGGGCCUACUGCACAGUAGCAAAUGGUCGGCAGAGUUGGCCUUCUCUCUCCCCACCUUGGCCCUGGCGGAGCUGCAGCCGCCGCCGCCGCCCGUUACAGAGGAGGAUGCUCAGGAUAUGGAUGUGUACACCCUGGCCAAGGCCUACUUUGAUGUUAAAGAGUAUGAUCGGGCAGCGCAUUUCCUACAUGGUUGCAAUAGCAAGAAAGCCUAUUUCCUAUACAUGUAUUCCAGAUAUCCGUCUGGAGAAAAAAAGAAAGAUGAUGAAACAGUUGAUAGCUUAGGCCCCCUGAAGAAAGGACAAGUGAAAAAUGAGGCUCUUAGAGAACUGAGAGUGGAGCUCAGCAAAAAACACCAAGCUCGGGAACCCGAUGGAUUUGGCCUCUAUCUCUGUGGUGUGCUGCUUCGAAAACUGGACUUGGUAAAAGAGGCCAUUGAUGUGUUUGUGGAGGCCACUCAUGUUUUGCCUUUGCACUGGGGAGCCUGGUUAGAACUCUAUAACCUGAUCACGGACAAAGAGAUGCUGAAGUUCCUGUCUUUGCCAGACACCUGGAUGAAAGUUUUUUCUGGCUCAUAUAUACACAGAGUUGCAGUUGAUAGAGGAGGCCCUGCAAAAGUAUCAGAAUCUCAUUGAUGUGGGCCUCUCUAAGAGCUCAUACAUUGUUUCCCAAAUUGCAGUUGCCUAUCACAAUAUCAGAGAUAUUGACAAAGCCCUCUCCAUUUUUAAUGAGCUAAGGAAGCAAGACCCUUACAGGAUUGAAAAUAUGGACACAUUCUCCAACCUUCUUUAUAUUAGGAGCAUGAAAUCUGAGUUGAGUUAUUUGGCUCAUAACCUCUGUGAGAUUGAUAAAUAUCGUGUAGAAACGUGCUGUGUAAUUGGCAAUUAUUAUAGUUCACAAUCUCAGAAUGAGAAGGUAGCCUUAUAUUUCCAGAGAGCCCUGAAAUUGAAUCCUCGGUAUCUUGGAGCCUGGAUGCCGAUGGGACACGAGUACAUGGAAAUGAAGAACACCUCAGCUGCUAUCCAGGCUUAUAGACAUGCCAUUGAGGUCAACAAACAGGACUACAGAGCUUGGUAUGGCCUUGGGCAGACCUAUGAAGUCCUUAAGAUGCCAUUUUACCGUCUUUAUUAUUACAGACGGGCCCACCAGCUUCGGCCCAAUGAUUCUCGUAUGCUGGUUGCUUUAGGAGAAAAGUCAGCCAUUCUACCUUCUGCUGGCCGUAGGGGCACUGAGUACCCUAGGAAGAGAGCCCCAGUCUCUCCUGGUGUCAAUGAACUUAGUCGUUCAUCAGACUGCACCGACUUCCUAGAGCAAAGUGAAGAAUGUUGA